rfam:Picea glauca, whole genome shotgun sequence.
GCCGUCUUAGCUCAGUUGGUAGAGCACGUGGCUUUUAACCACGUGGUCAUGGGUUCGAUUCCCACAAACGGUG